UUACGGCCACAUCACACAGAAACACCAGUUCCCGUAAAAUCACCAAUGUUAAGCAACGUCAAGCAUGGUCAGUACCUAGAUGGGUGACCGCUUGAGAAUACCAGGUGCUGUA